UGAGUACGAGAUGCUACGGCAUCGAAGCAGUCUAUGUCAUACUUCCAAGAAAAGCUUGCAAUGUCAUAAACAAAUAAUGCCUGUACCAUAACCGACACAGGUGGGUAGGUAGAGUAUACUAAGGGGCGCGAGAUAACUCUCUCUAAGGAACUCGGCAAAAUGACUCCGUAACUUCGGGAGAAGGAGUGCCUUAUUUUUAUAAGGUUGCAAUAACAAGAUCCAAGCAACUGUUUACCAAAAACACAGGUCUCCGCUAAGUCGUAAGACGAUGUAUGGGGGCUGACGCCUGCCCAGUGCCAGAAGGUUAAAGAAGUUGGUUAGCAUUAGCGAAGCUGAUAACUGAAGCCCUGGUGAACGGCGGCCGUAACAAUAACGGUCCUAAGGUAGCGAAAUUCCUUGUCGGGUAAGUUCCGACCCGCACGAAAGGCGUAAUGAUUUGGAUACUGUCUCGGAGAGGGGCUCGGUGAAAUAGACUUGUCUGUGAAGAUGCGGACUACCUGCACCUGGACAGAAAGACCCUAUGAAGCUUUACUGUAACUUGAGAUUGAAAUUGGACUUUAUCUGCGCAGUAUAGGUGGGAGACGUUGAAAAUAUUCUUGCGGGAAUAUUGGAGUCAUCAGUGAGAUACCACUCUUAUAAUGUUAGAUUUCUAACUUUGUAUCAUUAUCUGGUCAAAGAACAGUUUCAGGCGGGCAGUUUGACUGGGGCGGUCGCCUCCCAAACGGUAACGGAGGCGCACAAAGGUUUCCUCUGAACGUGUAGAAAUCGUAUCUAGAGUGUAAAGGCAUAAGGAAGCUUGACUGUGAGACCUACAAGUCGAGCAGGGACGAAAGUCGGUCUUAGUGAUCUGACGGUGCUGAGUGGAAGGGCCGUCACUCAACGGAUAAAAGUUACUCUAGGGAUAACAGGCUGAUCUCCCCCAAGAGUUCACAUCGACGGGGAGGUUUGGCACCUCGAUGUCGGCUCAUCGCAUCCUGGGGCGGUAGUACGUCCCAAGGGUUGGGCUGUUCGCCCAUGAAAGCGGUACGCGAGCUGGGUUCAGAACGUCGUGAGACAGCUCGGUCCAUAUCCGGUGUAGGCGUUAGAAUAUUGAGAGGAGCCUUCUUUAGUACGAGAGGACCGAGAAGGACAUACCUCUGGUGUACCAGUUAUCGUGCCAACGGUAAACGCUGGGUAGCCAUGUAUGAGAGGAUAACCGCUGAAAGCAUCUAAGUGGGAAGCCCACCUCAAGAUAAGUAUUCUC
rnacentral:rRNA from 1 species